AUCAAAGAUACAGUAAAAGACUGAGUAUGACCCUCUUUAUUCUGUAUUUACUUUUUAUCUGAGUUUAUAUGGCGGUUUAUUGAAUUUCAGAAGGAAGGGUGAAAUUGUUGAUAUUGAAAGACAUUCUAAAGCGAAAGCAUUAACCGAAUAUAAUCUGACACUAGGUACUAAAGUAUGGGGAUAAAUAGGAUUAGAGACCUUGUAGUCCAUACCUUAAACAAUGAGUGUUCAACAUCUUUAAGUAAUAUGACUUAUGGGGGUUUAAAGCUAACGCGUGAAACACCGCCUGGGGAAUGUGGCCGCAAGGUUAAACUCAAAGGAAUUGACGGAGACUUAUACAAGG
rnacentral:rRNA from 1 species